ACAGAGGGGGCAAGCGUUAUUCGGAAUUAUUGGGCGUAAAGGGCGCGUAGGCGGCAUGGCAAGUGGAAGGUGAAAUCCCUCGGCUCAACUGAGGAACUGCCUUCCAGACUGCUUUGCUUGAGGCCGGGAGAGGCGAGUGGAAUUCCCAGUGUAGCGGUGAAAUGCGUAGAUAUUGGGAGGAACACCAGUGGCGAAGGCGACUCGCUGGACCGGUACUGACGCUGAGGCGCGAAGGCAUGGGGAGCGAACGGGA
rnacentral:rRNA from 1 species